GAUUCCCUUAGUACGGCGAGUGACCGGGAUGAGCUCAAAUUUAAAAUCUGGCGUCUUUCAGGCGUCCGAGUUGUAAUCUAUAGAGGCGUUUUCCGCGCCGGACCGCGUCCAAGUCUCUUGGAAUAGAGUAUCAAAGAGGGUGACAAUCCCGUACUUGACGCGACAACCGGUGCUCUGUGAUACGUUCUCAAUGAGUCGAGUUGUUUGGGAAUGCAGCUCUAAAUGGGUGGUAAAUUCCAUCUAAGGCUAAAUAUUGGCGAGAGACCGAUAGCGAACAAGUACCGUGAGGGAAAGAUGAAAAGCACUUUGGAAAGAGAGUUAAACAGCACGUGAAAUUGUUAAAAGGGAAACGAUUGAAGUCAGUCGUGUGAAAGGUAUUCAGCCGUCUCUGGCGGUGUAUUUGCCUUUCACGGGUCAACAUCAGUUUGAUCCGGUAGAAAAAGGCGGGAGGAAGGUGGCACCCUCGGGUGUGUUAUAGCCUCCUGUCAUAUGUGCCGGACCAGACUGAGGAACGCAGCUAGCCGCAAGGCCGGGGUUCGCCCACGUACAAGCUUAGGAUGUUGACAUAAUGGCUUUAAACGACCCGUCU
rnacentral:rRNA from 1 species